GUCCUCGUGGAGUAAUAUAAGCAACUCACUCCCACAUAAUUGCAGCAAUCUGUGGCUUGAAAAGCUGAGAGAGAGUCGGUGGUUCGAAUCCACCCGAGGACG